AUCCAGUUGAUGAGUCCGAAACAGAACGAAAUGCACAUCCUGGAU
rnacentral:hammerhead_ribozyme from 1 species